ACCUGGGUGGCUCAGUUGGUUGAGCGUCUAACUUCAGCUCAGGUCAUGAUCUCACGAUUCGUGGGUUCAAGCCCGGCAUCAGGUU
rnacentral:tRNA from 1 species